rnacentral:misc_RNA from 1 species
CUUUAUUAUUAUUAUUAUUUUUUUCAAAACAAGAAUUUACUGGAGAAAGAAGGACAACUGAACAACCCAAAGAAGCCUUAACAUUCUCCGGGUUUUCAUUAACAGAGCUCAGAUCACAUAAACGUCUGCAUAUUAACCAGAAGUAGCACUUCUUUUUUUUUUUUUUUUUUCCAAUAUUUGAAGGGUUUUUUUCCCCUUGGGAACAUUAAUGUUAAUAGGUAUUGUAUGAGAAAUUUUAUCUAGUGUCAGUUUGCGGUCGUAAACCGUAUGAAAUUUAUAUUUAAUACUUAGUUUGAUUUGAUUUAUGCUCUGCACAUUUUGUUGCUCCUAUCAUUUUAAUAAUAGCAGCGGUGAUUUGAAGGUUACUUGGCUUGUAUUAAUGUAAGAUGUGAUUUGAUUAGACUUUGUUUUUCAGACUUCGUACUGCUUCUUUGCAACUCACAAAUGGAGCCUAAAAUUUCGCGGUAGUUACGAUGGAGGUUGGUUCUGAAAUUAUAAAUCUAAAUUAAAUUAUUGUCAUGAAACAAUUUGAAAGAUGAUUCAAUAAAAUUAGGAAUCUAAAUUUUUAAUCUAAAUUUUUAAGAUGAUUUAGAGACCGUUGAAAAGCAGUUUAGACUAAAAAGAUUGAAGA